ACCAAGGAGUCUAACAUGUGCGCGAGCCGCGGGGCAGUACGAAACCCGUAAGGCGAAAUGAAGGUGAACGCCGGCGCGGUCCGGCGGAGGUUGGAUCCCGUCCCGUCGGGGCGGGCGCACUACCGGCCGAUCUUCUCCGCCCUGUCGGCGAGGUCGAGCGAGAGCGUGCAAGUCGGGACCCGAAAGAUGGUGAACUAUGCCUGAGGAGGUUGAAGCCAGAGGAAACUCUGGUGGAGGACCGUAGCGAUUCUGACGUGCAAAUCGAUCGUCAAAUUGGGGUAUAGGGGGA
rnacentral:ncRNA from 1 species